rnacentral:rRNA from 1 species
GAUGAACGCUAGCGGCAGGCCUAACACAUGCAAGUCGAGGGAGAAGCCCUUUCGGGGGCAGAAACCGGCGCACGGGUGCGUAACGCGUAUGCAACCUACCUUUCACAGGGGGAUAGCCCGAAGAAAUUUGGAUUAAUACCCCAUAAUAUUAUUGGAUGGCAUCAUUUGAUAAUUAAAACUGCGGUGGUGAAAGAUGGGCAUGCGUCCUAUUAGCUAGUUGGAGUGGUAACGGCACCCCAAGGCUACGAUAGGUAGGGGUCCUGAGAGGGAGAUCCCCCACACUGGUACUGAGACAGGGACCAGACUCCUACGGGAGGCAGCAGUGAGGAAUAUUGGUCAAUGGUCGGAAGACUGAACCAGCCAUGCCGCGUGCAGGAAGAAUGCCUAAUGGGUUGUAAACUGCUUUUAUAUGGGAAGAAUAAGGCGUACGUGUACGUUGAUGACGGUACCAUAUGAAUAAGCAUCGGCUAACUCCGUG